rnacentral:rRNA from 1 species
UGGGGAAUAUUGCACAAUGGGCGCAAGCCUGAUGCAGCCAUGCCGCGUGUAUGAAGAAGGCCUUCGGGUUGUAAAGUACUUUCAGCGGGGAGGAAGGGAGUAAAGUUAAUACCUUUGCUCAUUGACGUUACCCGCAGAAGAAGCACCGGCUAACUCCGUGCCAGCAGCCGCGGUAAUACGGAGGGUGCAAGCGUUAAUCGGAAUUACUGGGCGUAAUGCGACGGCAGGCGGUUUGUUAAGUCAGAUGUGAAAUCCCCGGGCUCAACCUGGGAACUGCAUCUGAUACUGGCAAGCUUGAGUCUCGUAGAGGGGGGUAGAAUUCCAGGUGUAGCGGUGAAAUGCGUAGAGAUCUGGAGGAAUACCGGUGGCGAAGGCGGCCCCCUGGACGAAGACUGACGCUCAGGUGCGAAAGCGUGGGGAGCAAACAGG